AGAGUUUGAUUCUGGCUCAGAACGAACGCUGGCGGCGUGGAUAAGACAUGCAAGUCGAACGGGAGAAUUGCUAGCUUGCUAAUAAUUCUCUAGUGGCGCACGGGUGAGUAACACGUGAGUAACCUGCCUCUUAGUGGGGGAUAGCCCUGGGAAACCGGGAUUAAUACCGCAUACGAUUGAAAGAUCAAAGCAGCAAUGCGCUAGGAGAUGGGCUCGCGGCCUAUUAGUUAGUUGGUGAGGUAACGGCUCACCAAGGCGAUGACGGGUAGCCGGUCUGAGAGGAUGUCCGGCCACACUGGAACUGAGACACGGUCCAGACACCUACGGGUGGCAGCAGUCGAGAAUCAUUCACAAUGGGGGCAACCCUGAUGGUGCGACGCCGCGUGGGGGAAUGAAGGUCUUCGGAUUGUAAACCCCUGUCAUGUGGGAGCAAAUUAAAAAGAUAGUACCACAAGAGGAAGAGACGGCUAACUCUGUGCCAGCAGCCGCGGUAAUACAGAGGUCUCAAGCGUUGUUCGGAAUCACUGGGCGUAAAGCGUGCGUAGGCUGUUUCGUAAGUCGUGUGUGAAAGGCAGGGGCUCAACCCCUGGAUUGCACAUGAUACUGCGAGACUAGAGUAAUGGAGGGGGAACCGGAAUUCUCGGUGUAGCAGUGAAAUGCGUAGAUAUCGAGAGGAACACUCGUGGCGAAGGCGGGUUCCUGGACAUUAACUGACGCUGAGGCACGAAGGCCAGGGGAGCGAAAGGGAUUAGAUACCCCUGUAGUCCUGGCAGUAAACGGUGCACGCUUGGUGUGCGGGGAAUCGACCCCCUGCGUGCCGGAGCUAACGCGUUAAGCGUGCCGCCUGGGGAGUACGGUCGCAAGAUUAAAACUCAAAGAAAUUGACGGGGACCCGCACAAGCGGUGGAGUAUGUGGCUUAAUUCGAUGCAACGCGAAGAACCUUACCUGGGCUUGACAUGUAAUGAACAACAUGUGAAAGCAUGCGACUCUUCGGAGGCGUUACACAGGUGCUGCAUGGCCGUCGUCAGCUCGUGUCGUGAGAUGUUUGGUUAAGUCCAGCAACGAGCGCAACCCCUGUUGCCAGUUACCAUCGAGUAAUGUCGGGGACUCUGGCGAGACUGCCCAGAUCAACUGGGAGGAAGGUGGGGACGACGUCAGGUCAGUAUGGCCCUUAUGCCCAGGGCUGCACACGUACUACAAUGCCCAGUACAGAGGGGGCCGAAGCCGCGAGGCGGAGGAAAUCCUGAAAACUGGGCCCAGUUCGGACUGUAGGCUGCAACCCGCCUACACGAAGCCGGAAUCGCUAGUAAUGGCGCAUCAGCUACGGCGCCGUGAAUACGUUCCCGGGUCUUGUACACACCGCCCGUCACAUCAUGGAAGCCGGUCGCACCCGAAGUAUCUGAAGCCAACCGCAAGGAGGCAGGGUCCUAAGGUGAGACUGGUAACUGGGAUGAAGUCGUAACAAGGUAGCCGUAGGGGAACCUGCGG
rnacentral:rRNA from 4 species